GAGUGGCGAACGGGUGAGUAAUGUAUCGGAACGUGCCCAGUCGUGGGGGAUAACUGCUCGAAAGAGCAGCUAAUACCGCAUACGACCUGAGGGUGAAAGCGGGGGAUCGCAAGGCCUCGCGCGAUUGGAGCGGCCGAUAUCAGAUUAGGUAGUUGGUGAGGUAAAGGCUCACCAAGCCGACGAUCUGUAGCUGGUCUGAGAGGACGACCAGCCACACUGGGACUGAGACACGGCCCAGACUCCUACGGGAGGCAGCAGUGGGGAAUUUUGGACAAUGGGCGCAAGCCUGAUCCAGCCAUGCCGCGUGCGGGAAGAAGGCCUUCGGGUUGUAAACCGCUUUUGUCAGGGAAGAAAAGGUUCUGGCUAAUACCUGGGACUCAUGACGGUACCUGAAGAAUAAGCACCGGCUAACUACGUGCCAGCAGCCGCGGUAAUACGUAGGGUGCAAGCGUUAAUCGGAAUUACUGGGCGUAAAGCGUGCGCAGGCGGUUAUGCAAGACAGAGGUGAAAUCCCCGGGCUCAACCUGGGAACUGCCUUUGUGACUG
rnacentral:rRNA from 1 species